GGAAGACCCGGGAUCCACGGGAGGCGGCGGCCGCAGCCUGGGAUUCCCCAGGGACCCCCCCGGAGCCGCCGCGUCUCCCAUGGACUUGCCCGGGGACUCCAGCCCGCCUGGCCAGCCGCGUCUGUGCCGCCAGCCUCUGACUCGAGCAUUAUGGGGAGCCAGGAGCCCGAAACGGCCGAGGCUGCAGCUCCCGGGGGCCCCUUCUCCCCUGGAAAAGGCCUCUCGGCGGGUCCUGGCCGUGGUGCUAGAAGAUGUCAUGGCUGUUCACAUGAGACAGGGUCUUGCUAUGUUGCACAAGCUGGUCUCAAACUGGCAUCAAGCGAUCUUCCCAUCUCUGCCUCCCAAAGUAUUGGGAUUACAGGCGUGAGCCACGGCGCUGGGCCGAAACUCUUCUGCUUUCUUCCCAGCCCAGCCUCCUUAGGAAGCAGGCUGAGGUCUUUGACUCCACUGCACAGAUAAGAAAAACUGGCCCAAAAAAGGCAGUGACCCACCCUAGCUCACCCUGUCUUUUUCAUUUCUCUAAACAGCGUGGAUGAGAUUACCCAGGUCCUACACCUGCAGUUUAGGACUCUUAAUAUCUGGCCCCUAAUUCAGUCCAAUUCAUCUCUUCUCUUGGGAUCCGAGUGAAUUCUAGCCCCAAUCUCUGUUAUGUUUGUGGCUCAGGGCACUGUGAGGCACAGGGAAACCUUGUCCCGUCCAGCCUCAUUCUAUCACCUUGCUCUUGACACCUCUUUCUCUUCCAGGUCCCCGUGGUGCCCUCAAAGCAGACCUCCAUACCACAGCACC
rnacentral:lncRNA from 10 species